GAUGAAGAACGUAGCGAAAUGCGAUACGUAAUGUGAAUUGCAGAAUUCAGUGAAUCAUCGAGUCUUUGAACGCACAUUGCGCCCCCUGGUAUUCCGGGGGGCAUGCCUGUCCGAGCGUCAUUGCUGCCCUCAAGCACGGCUUGUGUGUUGGGCCUCCGUCCUCCCCCCGGGGGACGGGCCCGAAAGGCAGCGGCGGCACCGCGUCCGGUCCUCGAGCGUAUGGGGCUUCGUCACCCGCUCUUGUAGGCCCGGCCGGCGCUUGCCGACACAUCAAUCUUUUUUCCAGGUUGACCUCGGAUCAGGUAGGGAUACCCGCUGAACUUAAGCAUAUCAAUACGCGGAGGA
rnacentral:misc_RNA from 1 species